UACGAAGGGGGCUAGCGUUGCUCGGAAUCACUGGGCGUAAAGCGCACGUAGGCGGGCUCUUAAGUCAGGGGUGAAAUCCUGGAGCUCAACUCCAGAACUGCCUUUGAUACUGGGAGUCUUGAGUUCGGGAGAGGUGAGUGGAACUGCGAGUGUAGAGGUGAAAUUCGUAGAUAUUCGCAAGAACACCAGUGGCGAAGGCGGCUCACUGGCCCGAUACUGACGCUGAGGUGCGAAAGCGUGGGGAGCAAACAGG
rnacentral:rRNA from 1 species